UAAGGAAUAUUGGUCAAUGGACGCAAGUCUGAACCAGCCAUGCCGCGUGAAGGAUGAAGGUCCUCUGGAUUGUAAACUUCUUUUAUCUGGGACGAAAACGGGAUUUUUAUCUCAAUUGACGGUACCAGAGGAAUAAGCACCGGCUAACUCCGUGCCAGCAGCCGCGGUAAUACGGGGGGUGCGAGCGUUAUCCGGAUUUACUGGGUUUAAAGGGUGCGUAGGUGGGCUUAUAAGUCAGUGGUGAAAUCUCCGAGCUUAACUUGGAAACUGCCGUUGAUACUAUAGGUCUUGAAUUAUCUGGAGGUAAGCGGAAUAUGUCAUGUAGCGGUGAAAUGCUUAGAUAUGACAUAGAACACCAAUUGCGAAGGCAGCUUACUACAUAUAAAUUGACGCUGAGGCACGAAGGCGUGGGGAUCAAACA
rnacentral:rRNA from 1 species